rnacentral:rRNA from 1 species
GACGAACGCUGGCGGCGUGCUUAACACAUGCAAGUCGAACGGAAAGGCCCUGCUUUUGUGGGGUGCUCGAGUGGCGAACGGGUGAGUAACGCGUGAGUAACCUGCCCUUGACUUUGGGAUAACUUCAGGAAACUGGGGCUAAUACCGGAUAGGAGCUCCUGCUGCAUGGUGGGGGUUGGAAAGUUUCGGCGGUUGGGGAUGGACUCGCGGCUUAUCAGCUUGUUGGUGGGGUAGUGGCUUACCAAGGCUUUGACGGGUAGCCGGCCUGAGAGGGUGACCGGCAACAUGGGGAUGGAGAUACGCCCCGGAUCCCUACGGGAGGAAGGGGGGGGGAUUUUUGCACAAUGGGCGGAAGCUUGAUGAAGCAACGCGGGUGGCGGGAGACCGGCCUUAGGGUUGUAAACCGCUUUCGCCUGUGACGAAGCGUGAGUGACGGUAAUGGGUAAAGAAGCACCGGCUAACUACGUG